rnacentral:rRNA from 1 species
UGGGGAAUAUUGCACAAUGGGGGAAACCCUGAUGCAGCGACGCCGCGUGGAGGAAGAAGGUCUUCGGAUUGUAAACUCCUGUUGUUGGGGAAAAUAAGGAUGGUACCCAACAAGGAAGUGACGGCUAACUACGUGCCAGCAGCCGCGGUAAAACGUAGGUCACAAGCGUUGUCCGGAAUUACUGGGUGUAAAGGGAGCGCAGGCGGGUUUUCAAGUUGGGAGUGAAAUACAUGGGCUCAACCCAUGAACUGCUCUCAAAACUGGAGAUCUUGAGUAGUGCAGAGGUAGGCGGAAUUCCCGGUGUAGCGGUGGAAUGCGUAGAGAUCGGGGAGGAACACCAGUGGCGAAGGCGGCCUACUGGGCACCGAACUGACGCUGAGGCUCGAAAGUGUGGGUAGCAAACAGGAUUAGAUACCCGU